rnacentral:rRNA from 1 species
UAGGGAAUCUUCGGCAAUGGACGAAAGUCUGACCGAGCAACGCCGCGUGAGUGAAGAAGGUUUUCGGAUCGUAAAACUCUGUUGUUAGAGAAGAACAAGGACGUUAGUAACUGAACGUCCCCUGACGGUAUCUAACCAGAAAGCCACGGCUAACUACGUGCCAGCAGCCGCGGUAAUACGUAGGUGGCAAGCGUUGUCCGGAUUCAUUGGGCGUAAAGCGAGCGCAGGCGGUUUCUUAAGUCUGAUGUGAAAGCCCCCGGCUCAACCGGGGAGGGUCAUUAGAAACUGGGAGACUUGAGUGCAGAAGAGGAGAGUGGAAUUCCAUGUGUAGCGGUGAAAUGCGUAGAUAUAUGGAGGAACACCAGUGGCGAAGGCGGCUCUCUGGUCUGUAACUGACGCUGAGGCUCGAAAGCGUGGGGAGCAAACAGG